rnacentral:rRNA from 1 species
UCCCGUUGAUCCUGCGGGAGGUCGCUGCUAUUGGAAUUCGACUAAGCCAUGCAAGUUCAGGCCCCACUUCGGUGGGACCGGCAUAAUGCUCAGUAACACGUCGUUAACCUACCCUAUACUCAGGGAUAACCUUGGGAAACUGAGGAUAACACCUGAUAGAGGAUUAUAUCUGGAAUGAUUUUUCCUUUAAAGAUUACGGUAUAGGAUGGGACGGCGGCUGAUUAGGUUGUUGGCGGGGUAAUGGCCCACCAAGCCUACGAUCAGUACGGGCCUUGAGAGAGGUAGCCCGGAGAAGGUCACUGAAAUACUGGACCUAGCCCUACGGGGUGCAGCAGGCGCGAAACCUUUACAAUGCACGAAAGUGUGAUAAGGAAUUCCAAGUGCUCAAGCUUUGCUUGGGCUUUUGCCAAGAGUAAAUACCUUGGCGAAUAAGUGGUGGGCAAGACUGGUGCCAGCAGCCGCGGUAACACCAGCGCCACGAGUGGCGACCAGAAUUAUUGGGCCUAAAGCGUUCGUAGCCUGUUAUGUAAAUCUUUUGUGAAAUUGUCAAGCCUAACUUGUCAGAUUGCAGAAGACACUGCAUAACUUGGGACCGGAAGGGGUUAGGAGUAUUUUGGGGGGAGCGGUAAAAUGUUAUAAUCCUCAAAAGACUACCUGUGGCGAAGGCGCCUAACCAGUACGGAUCCGACGGUGAGGAACGAAAGCUGGGGGAGCGAUCCGGAUUAGAUACCCGAGUAGUCCCAGCCGUAAACUCUGCGAGCCAGGUGUUUCACAUUUUAAGAGAAUGUGAAGUGUCGUAACGAAGGUGAUAAGCUCGCCGCCUGGGGAGUACGGUCGCAAGACUGAAACUUAAAGGAAUUGGCGGGGGAGCACUACAAGGGGUGCGGCGUGCGGUUUAAUUGAACUCAACGCCGGAAAUCUCACCAAGAGCGACGGCAGGAUGAAAGUCAGGCUAAAGACCUUACUUGACAAGCCGAGAGGAGGUGCAUGGCCGCCGCCAGCUCGUGCCGUAAGGUGUCCAGUUAAGUCUGGUAACGAGCAAGACCUGCGUCCACAAUUGCCAGCGGGCCGAUUCGGUGACCGGGAACAAUGUGGGAACUGCUUUGGAAACAAAGAGGAAGGUGCAGGCAACGGUAGGUCUGUAUGCCCCGAAUCCCUUGGGCUACACGCGCGCAACAAUGGUAAAGACAUCGGGAUGCAACUCCGAAAGGAGAAGCUAAGCCUCUAAACUUUAUCUUAGUACAGAUUGAGGGCUGUAACCCGCCCUCAUGACGAUGGAAUCCCUAGUAAUCAGACGUCAUUAUCGUCCGGUGAAUAUGUCCCUGCUCCUUGCACACACCGCCCGUCAAACCACUCGAGCAGGGUUUAGGUGAGUAUUAGCUGUAAGGUUAAUCCGAACCUAAGCUCAGUGAGAUGGGUUAAGUCGUCACAAGGUA